UACGGAGGGUGUGAGCGUUGUCCGGAAUCACUGGGCGUAAAGGGCGCGUAGGCGGCUCAUGAAGGCUGUGGUGAAAGUCCGGGGCUCAACCUCGGAUCGGCCGUGGCGACUCGUGGGCUGGAGCACUGUAGAGGCGGGUGGAAUUCCGGGUGUAGCGGUGGAAUGCGUAGAGAUCCGGAAGAACACCAGUGGCGAAGGCGGCCCGCUGGGCAGUGGCUGACGCUGAAGCGCGACAGCGUGGGGAGCAAACAGG
rnacentral:rRNA from 1 species